GACGAACGCUGGCGGCGUGCUUAACACAUGCAAGUCGAACGAAGUGGCGAACGGGUGAGUAACGCGUCAUCAACCUGCCCUUCAGAGGGGUACAACAGUUGGAAACGACUGCUAAUACCUCCUACUGAAGUAGGGGAUUUCGUCUGAUUCGCUAGUUGGGGGGGUAACGGCCCACCAAGGCGAUGAUCAGUAGCCGGGCUUGGGGGAUGGACGGCCAAAUUGGGACUGGGACACGGGCCAGACUCCUAAGGGAGGGAGCAGGGGGGAAUCUUCCGCAAUGGACGAAAGGCUGACGGAGCAAAGGCGCGUGAGUGAUGACGGCCUUCGGGUUGUAAAGACCUGUUAAUCGGGAAGCGGUACCGGAAGAGAAAGCCACGGCUAACUACGUGCCAGCAGCCGCGGUAAUUC
rnacentral:rRNA from 1 species